CUGAAUACAAGGGGUCUGAUGACGGUGAAUGACAAACCCAGGGCGUUUGGUAGAGUGGAGUCAUUCAGGUGAAAGUUAUUACACUUUUCUUCCCACACUCAGUCGCAUAACUCGGCUUCAGUGCUUCCCCCACAGGGAUUCUCCAAGGUCGAUUGUAUCUUUCCAGGAAAUGCAGCUACCAAACUUGUGUUGGAAGGAGUCUUCCCAAAGUGAUGUUUCUGCUAUAAUGAGGACGCUCUCCUGGCGUUCCUGGGUGCCUCUGUGGUGAAAGUGGACAGAAGGAAGACUGCUUGAAUAGGAUGAAUGGGCUGUGACUGUGGAGUGGACAGAUGGAAGUGGAUCCUGCUGAGAUGCAAACAGUUACUGUGUGUUUCCAUCUAACAGAAGACUGAUUGCACAGUACCUACAUCUGGCUUCCUUGUCCCUGCUGAAGAAUAGCAUCCCCACAGCAUGAUGGUGCCACCACCAUGUUUCACCAUGACAAUGGUGAGUUUAGGAAAGUGUGCAGUGUAGGUUUUGUCACACAUAACGUUUUACAUGUAGGUUUAAAAUGUCAAUUAUGAUCUCAUCUGAACAGAGCAUCUUUUUCCACGCAUCUGCAUGUCCCCUACAUUACCUUUGCAAGGCUCUGUACGUAUUUUUCAGUUUGUGCAGAACAUUAGAGUAAUGUGAUCCUACAGAAUCACUUUACGAAACACUGCCAGGCUUCUACACUUGUACAUGCAAUACUUUUAGAUUAGAAA